GAGUACUGGAGGGGAGACUGGAAUUCCUGGUGUAGCGGAGAAAUGCGCAGAUAUCAGGAGGAACACCGGUGGCGAAGGCGGGUCUCUGGGCAGUAACUGACGCUGAGGAGCGAAAGCGUGGGAAGCGAACAGGAUUAGAUACCCUGGUAGUCCACGCCGUAAACGGUGGGCGCUACGUGUGGGUUUCCUUCCACGGGAUCCGUGCCGUAGCUAACGCAUUAAGGGCCCCGCCUGGGGAGUACGGCCGCAAGGCUAAAUCUCAAAGGAAUUG
rnacentral:rRNA from 1 species